rnacentral:rRNA from 1 species
GCGAGUGAAGCGGCAUGAGCUCAAAUUUGAAAACCUUGUAUGAGGUGUUGUAAUUUGAAGAAACGAGGGCGGCAGAUGAAGGAAAAGUCCAUUGGAACAUGGCGCCAUUGAGGGUGACAGCCCCGUGUCUUCUAGCCAUUGCCCCUUGUUUCCAAGAGUCGAGUUGUUUGGGAAUGCAGCUCAAAGUGGGUGGUAAAUUCCAUCUAAAGCUAAAUAUUGGCGAGAGACCGAUAGCGAACAAGUACCGUGAGGGAAAGAUGAAAAGCACUUUGAAAAGAGAGUGAAACAGUACGUGAAAUUGUUGAAAGGGAAGGGCUUGCAAGCAGACACACAAACCUUUUCGGAGGAUUGUGGGCCAGGGUCGGGUGAGGAGGCGAGAAAAGCGGAGGGAAACGUGGCCCCUGGGCAUUUGCGCAGGGGUGUUAUAGUCCCUUCUUAUGUUGCCAUCCCCGCCCGAGGACCGCUUUUAUUAGAGGAUCCUGGCGUAAUGGUUGCAAGUCGCCC